AAAUUGAAGAGUUUGAUCAUGGCUCAGAUUGAACGCUGGCGGCAGGCCUAACACAUGCAAGUCGAACGGUAACAGGAAGCAGCUUGCUGCUUCGCUGACGAGUGGCGGACGGGUGAGUAAUGUCUGGGAAACUGCCUGAUGGAGGGGGAUAACUACUGGAAACGGUAGCUAAUACCGCAUAACGUCGCAAGACCAAAGAGGGGGACCUUAGGGCCUCUUGCCAUCGGAUGUGCCCAGAUGGGAUUAGCUAGUAGGUGGGGUAACGGCUCACCUAGGCGACGAUCCCUAGCUGGUCUGAGAGGAUGACCAGCCACACUGGAACUGAGACACGGUCCAGACUCCUACGGGAGGCAGCAGUGGGGAAUAUUGCACAAUGGGCGCAAGCCUGAUGCAGCCAUGCCGCGUGUAUGAAGAAGGCCUUCGGGUUGUAAAGUACUUUCAGCGGGGAGGAAGGGAGUAAA
rnacentral:rRNA from 1 species